GUGCCAGCCGCCGCGGUAAUACAUGGGGUGCAAACGUUGCUCGGAAUCAUUGGGCGUAAAGCGCGCGUAGGCGGUUACUUAUGUCGGAUGUGAAAGCCCUCGGCUUAACUGAGGAAGUGCAUUCGAAACUGGGUAGCUAGAGUACUAAAGAGGGUCGCGGAAUUCCCGGUGUAGAGGUGAAAUUCGUAGAUAUCGGGAGGAACACCGGUGGCGAAGGCGGCGACCUGGGUAGAUACUGACGCUGAGGCGCGAAAGCGUGGGGAGCAAACAGGAUUAGAUACCCUCGUAGUCC
rnacentral:rRNA from 1 species